rnacentral:rRNA from 1 species
CUCAGGAUGAACGCUGGCGGCGUGCUUAACACAUGCAAGUCGAACGGGAAUGCCACGCUGAUGCGAUUUCGGUCAAAUCAUGUGGCAUUCGAGUGGCGGACGGGUGAGUAACGCGUGGGUAACCUGCCUUACACAGGGGGAUAACACCUGGAAACAGGUGCUAAUACCGCAUAAGCGCACAGGGCCGCAUGGCCCGGUGUGAAAAACUCCGGUGGUGUAAGAUGGACCCGCGUCUGAUUAGCUUGUUGGCGGGGUAGGGGCCCACCAAGGCGACGAUCAGUAGCCGGCCUGAGAGGGUGGACGGCCACAUUGGGACUGAGACACGGCCCAAACUCCUACGGGAGGCAGCAGUGGGGGAUAUUGGACAAUGGGGGAAACCCUGAUCCAGCGACGCCGCGUGAGUGAAGAAGUAUUUCGGUAUGUAAAGCUCUGUCAGCAGGGAAGAAAGAAAUGACGGUACCUGACCAAGAAGCCCCGGCUAACUACGUGCCAGCAGCCGCGGUAAUACGUAGGGGGCAAGCGUUAUCCGGAAUUACUGGGUGUAAAGGGAGCGUAGACGGUGAUGCAAGUCUGGAGUGAAAGGCGGGGGCCCAACCCCCGGACUGCUCUGGAAACUGUGUAACUUGAGUGCAGGAGAGGUAAGCGGAAUUCCUAGUGUAGCGGUGAAAUGCGUAGAUAUUAGGAGGAACACCAGUGGCGAAGGCGGCUUACUGGACUGUAACUGACGUUGAGGCUCGAAAGCGUGGGGAGCAAACAGGAUUAGAUACCCUGGUAGUCCACGCCGUAA